AGAGUAGCUAAACCGCACAGGCCACUAUUCACUGUAAUAGUGGUUCAAACACCGGUGCUGACAGCAGAGGGGACCUUGUCGCCUUUGGAGGAUUGUCUGUGCCCUUCAAAGAGAAUUUAGAGGUCCCACCCAC
ensembl:snoRNA